GAGGAAAUGAGUCUUCACUUUUUUCGGUACCUCCGUGCGAGAAGAUCGUCGCCGCCACAACAAGGCGAAAAGUUGUAAAAUCCCUUCGCGGGAAUCACAGUGCGCGGUUUGUGAGUGAUUUUCACCGGUGGUUUAAUUCGGGAACCGAAAUUCACCCGAAAUCGUUCACCGUGAGGUAAAUCCGGUUUCGAGACGCCGGCAACAAACGCACCAAAGGUCAGGAAAAAGUUCCAGAAUCACGCAGGAAGGUAGACGGUCCAAGGAAGCACGGCACCGAACACAAGUUGACUUCAGUCAACGGGCCGCCAAUCGAAGGGUAAAAGAUCACCCGAAGGUCAGAACAAAACCACGGGGAAGUGAACCAAACACACAUCCGUCGGAGAUCGGUUACAAUUCCGUCAGAGCCAAAACACCCCAUUCGCUGGGGUGUUUCUAUGGGAGCUGAGCUGCGCAUGCUGAAGGACGAUUUGUGCUUGUGUUGAUCCGGUGACUGUCGCGUGGAAUUGGUGAAAGGCGUGCGGCCUCGUCAGCAUCUACUGCCUCGGAGGGAUCCCAUCCAGUAUACGGUCGACUGGACGGCCAGAGGGAUCUCCAGCAGAGGAGUCGCGCAGAGAAGGAAGUUUGCCAGCACGAAGAGGUCGGAGGCGCAGUUGUCCCAGUGAUCCCGUCGUCGCCAUCAAGGAGGGAAUUGGCCGGUAUUUCCACUGCUAUUGCCGCCAGGAAAACCGUCCGUCUUAACCGCAAACGGAGGUCUGGAGACGAGACAUCAAGCAGGAGCGAUUGAUGGCGAAUCGUCGCAGAUUAUGGAGUUGUGCGAGGAGAUGGGUGAGGCGAGACUAGCGUGUAAGAAGAUGUGAAUAGAGAAAGAGUAGAGGAGUUAGGCCCAGAAGUAGGAGGCUAGG